rnacentral:rRNA from 1 species
GCCGAAUGAACUAGCCCUGAAAAUGGAUGGCGCUUAAGCGUGGAGCCGAAACUCGACCGUUUUGGCGCAUAGGUUAUGCCUAAACGAGUAGGAGGAUGUGGUCCUCACGACGAAGCCUGUGCGUAAGCUUGGGUGGAGUGGGGUCCAGUACAGAUCUUGGUGUGAGUAGCAAUUAUACAAAUGUGAUCUUUGUAGACUGAAGUGGGGAAGGGUUCCAUGUGAACAGCAUUUGAACAUGGGUUAGUCGGUCCUAAGAGUUGGGGAAAUUCCUUGUUGAAUGUGCCUUUUCGGAGGCACUCCACUCGAAAGGGAAUCAGGUUAAUAUUCCUGAACCUGUUAUAUUCAGUGAUGGAGUGACGCAGUGGUGAGAUGGAGACACCGACUGGAAGUGGUGUUGAACAUAUGUAGAAAGUUUGGUAGGCAAAUCCGCCAGACAAUAUUUCGAGGUAUGGGACCAGAGCCCUAGGCUCAAAAGUCCAUUCAUAUACACUGCCAAGAAAUAACUUCUAAGCGUUAUAAAGAUAUAGCAGAUCGUACCGCAAACCGACACAGGU